UACGGAGGGAGCUAGCGUUGUUCGGAAUUACUGGGCGUAAAGCGCGCGUAGGCGGCUUUGUAAGUUAGAGGUGAAAGCCCGGGGCUCAACCCCGGAAUUGCCUUUAAGACUGCAUCGCUUGAAUCCGGGAGAGGUGAGUGGAAUUCCGAGUGUAGAGGUGAAAUUCGUAGAUAUUCGGAAGAACACCAGUGGCGAAGGCGGCUCACUGGCCCGGUACUGACGCUGAGAUACGAAAGCGUGGGGAGCAAACAGG
rnacentral:rRNA from 1 species